rnacentral:misc_RNA from 1 species
CUCAAGCUAUCCUCAAUAGAAAACAGCCCCUUUCAGAUUCUUUGAAAUCGAUCCCUUCACAGGCCACUUUGGCUGCUUUGCUCUUAUCUUCGCUAACACAACAAGCCUUGGCCUUAGACAACGCUACUCCACCCGCGCCACCACCUGUAAUCGAAUCCCAACCCACCAACACCCCUUCAAAUACCUCUCCUUUCUCCCAAAACCUUCUCCUUACUGCCCCAAAACCUCAAUCCCAAUCCACCUCUGACCUCCCUGAAGGCAGUCAAUGGCGAUACAGCGAGUUCCUCAACGCGGUCAAGAAGGGCAAAGUCGAGAGAGUUCGUUUCAGCAAAGAUGGUUCUGCCCUCCAGCUC